CUUAAAUGUGAGAGCAAAAUGGGUUGUUCCAAACAAAACAGAUUGCCAUACACACCUUGCUUUUCACCUGUGAACAAGGAAAUCAUCUCUGCCUCACAUCACAUAGCAGGCUACCUGGGCUGGGUUAAAAGGAGAUGUGCCUGGGAAAGAAAAAUAUAUAUUUUUAAAAUGCAAGAAAGAAUAUCCACUUGGCUUAUCAAGGUUGUCUUUAUGUUAUGAGUUUCCCAGAUAUCAACGGCCCCGGGAGAAGGCUGGAAAGUGGCGACCAUAGUCCUGGGAGUUCUGCUGGGCUUGAUUUUGUUAGUCGGGGUUGUCGUUCUGGUCAGCACCGCAGUGAGGAAAGCAACUAGCAAGCUGACCUCGUACAACCUCCAGCACACAGAGCACAACAGACAGGCGGUGUCCAAUGACUAUUUACAAGGAUGUUAUUCUUACCAGAUCAAAAAUAUCAAGAUAUUGAAUAUUAAUAACAUUUGAAUUAUAUAUUUUGAUAGACAAAAGUAUCAGGUAUCACACCAUGUAAAGGAACAACGUCCUAAUUCUUUAAUUGUUUUAUAAAAUGCAACUGGAUUGAUGUCAACUCCGUCAGACAAAUAUUUAUUAUCCAACAAGUGUUAAAUAAAGGCCUUGAUUGUUUAAUUCUAACAUUACAUUAUUCAAAUAUGAUAUGAUAAUGCUCCAAGGCUAAUUUUGUUAGCAUUUUGACAUGUUUCUCUAGAUUCAGAACAUAAAACAACAUUUAGAAAGCAAACAAUAACCCUUAGGUCUAACACAGCAAAUAAGUCAGUAGUUUAAGCAUAUGUUGCAACAAUGUUAAAAUAUUUUUUUCUGAAUAUUGACAAAAAAGAUCGAUAUUAAGAGGGUUAGCCAUCAGUGAGUUGACAAGCCAUUGACGAGGCUGACAACAAAUACUCAAAACAGCCUCUAAAAAUAAACGUUUAAUACAAACAUUUGUAAAAAUAUAACCA
ensembl:lncRNA